UACAGAGGGGGCAAGCGUUAUUCGGAAUUAUUGGGCGUAAAGGGCGCGUAGGCGGCCUGGCAAGUGGAAGGUGAAAUCCCUCGGCUUAACCGAGGAACUGCCCUCCAAACUGCUUGGCUUGAGUCCGGGAGAGGUGAGUGGAAUUCCCAGUGUAGCGGUGAAAUGCGCAGAUAUCAGGAGGAACACCGGUGGCGAAGGCGGUUCUCUGGGCAUUACCUGACGCUGAGGAGCGAAAGUGUGGGGAGCGAACAGG
rnacentral:rRNA from 1 species